rnacentral:rRNA from 1 species
GAUGAACGCUAGCGGCAGGCCUAACACAUGCAAGUCGAGGGGUAGAACACUUCGGUGUUUGAGACCGGCGCACGGGUGCGUAACGCGUAUGCAAUCUACCUUGUACAGGGGAAUAGCCCAGAGAAAUUUGGAUUAAUGCCCCAUAGUAUAUAACCUUCGCAUGUUGGUUAUAUUAAAGUUCCAACGGUACAAGAUGAGCAUGCGUCCCAUUAGUUAGUUGGUAAGGUAACGGCUUACCAAGACGAUGAUGGGUAGGGGUCCUGAGAGGGAGAUCCCCCACACUGGUACUGAGACACGGACCAGACUCCUACGGGAGGCAGCAGUGAGGAAUAUUGGUCAAUGGUCGCAAGACUGAACCAGCCAUGCCGCGUGCAGGAAGACGGUCCUAUGGAUUGUAAACUGCUUUUAUACAGGAAGAAACCCUCCCACGUGUGGGAGCUUGACGGUACUGUAGGAAUAAGGAUCGGCUAACUCCGUGCCAGCAGCCGCGGUAAAC